rnacentral:rRNA from 1 species
AGUGAACGCUGGCGGUAGGCCUAACACAUGCAAGUCGAACGGCAGCACAGUAAGAGCUUGCUCUUACGGGUGGCGAGUGGCGGACGGGUGAGGAAUACAUCGGAAUCUACUUUUUCGUGGGGGAUAACGUAGGGAAACUUACGCUAAUACCGCAUACGACCUACGGGUGAAAGCAGGGGAUCUUCGGACCUUGCGCGAUUGAAUGCGCCGAUGUCGGAUUAGCUAGUUGGCGGGGUAAAGGCCCACCAAGGCGACGAUCCGUAGCUGGUCUGAGAGGAUGAGCAGCCACACUGGAACUGAGACACGGCCCAGACUCCUACGGGAGGCAGCAGUGGGGAAUAUUGGACAAUGGGCGCAAGCCUGAUCCAGCCAUACCGCGUGGGUGAAGAAGGCCUUCGGGUUGUAAAGCCCUUUUGUUGGGAAAGAAAAGCAGCAGGUUAAUACCCCGCUGUUCUGACGGUACCCAAAGAAUAAGCACCGGCUAACUUCGUG